AGUUGAUUUAAGAAGUAAUGUGUCUUGAAAACACAAAUUAGAGGUUAAAUUCCUCUAUCAACUU
rnacentral:tRNA from 1 species